rnacentral:tRNA from 1 species
GGAACCGUUGUGUAGGGGCAAGCAUGGUUGCCUCUCACCCAGUCGGCUUGGGUUCGAUCCCAGACGGUCCCG